rnacentral:rRNA from 1 species
CCUACGGGGAGCAGCAGUGAGGAAUAUUGGUCAAUGGACGAGAGUCUGAACCAGCCAAGUAGCGUGAAGGAUGACUGCCCUAUGGGUUGUAAACUUCUUUUAUAUGGGAAUAAAAUGUUCCACGUGUGGGAUUUUGUAUGUACCAUAUGAAUAAGGAUCGGCUAACUCCGUGCCAGCAGCCGCGGUAAUACGGAGGAUCCGAGCGUUAUCCGGAUUUAUUGGGUUUAAAGGGCGCGUAGGUGGAUUGUUAAGUCAGUUGUGAAAGUUUGCGGCUCAACCGUACAAUUGCAGUUGAAACUGGCAGUCGUGAGUACAGUAGAGGUGGGCGGAAUUCGUGGUGUAGCGGUGAAAUGCUUAGAUAUCACGAAGAACUCCGAGUGCGAAGGCAGCUCACUGGACUGCAACUGACACUGAGGCUCGAAAGUGUGGGUAUCAAACAGGAUUAGAUACCCUUGUAGUC